CCUACGGGCGGCAGGCGAAGUCUGACGGGGGUUGUUCUUUGAUUUUUACUAUUCGGUUUAACUUGUAAAUUUUUGUAACAGAAUGACAACCCCCUAACCCCCUUUAUUAAGGGGGAAUAAGAUGAAUGUUAUACCAUCGAACGCACUUGGUAUAAUAUAAUUUCUUAAAUCGAACUCACGUUAAAUAGUUACUAAUAUUAGCGACCUAAUUCCUAUUUGAAAAUUUCAUAACAAACCAUUGAAAAUCCACUUGCACGAGCAGCAGAAAUUGGUUGAGCAAGCUUUCGGGUAAUUACUAAUCAUAUUAUGAAAUAUAAAUCAAUGUCAAUCGUUGAAAAUUUAGUUAAAAUGCCUAAUUGGAAAAAAAUAUGAUUAAUCAAUUUCAUGCCAUAUAUGAACGCGACGGGGAUUGGUUCGUAGCUUAUUGUCCCGAGAUACCCGAGUAGUC
rnacentral:rRNA from 1 species